GCCAGCCUGUCUGCAGAAAGUUAUUUCUGCAGAAGCUUGAAGGAAAAGGCUGGGGAAAAAAUGUGCUCUGGCUUCGGUUUCCCCAUGCACACUUCUUAGCCAAGACGGACGGUAAGAGUCCUCUCCGGUCACACUUGCCCAGGCCCGAGCAGCGCUGCACCAGGAACGGGGCACCUGCUUCACGUAAAACGUUCCCCGCAGCACCGGCUCGGGUUUUGUUACUGCCGUCGUUGGAGGUGAAGUUUGCAAGUUACCAAAAGCAAACAAACAAAAUAAACAAACGAAACAAGCCAGUUUGAUUCUCCAGCCCCGUAACCGCC
rnacentral:lncRNA from 1 species